CACCCUCUCUUUUCUCUCUCUAUCUGCCUCCCGCCUUCUCAGGCUCAUUCCUCAUCCAUCAAGAAGUCCGAGGAACCUAAGGUCUAGGCCCAGCCUGGCUAUGGAGUAAAAGUUCAGGAGUCACUCUGGGAAAGUCGAGGAAAAUGGAACUCUAGGCUUCAGAGAGAGGACUGGCCUGGGACACAGCAGGCAGAUGAGCAGACAUAAUUGUUUGGAUGAACGGAGGCAAGAUGGCGCACUUCCGGGUUCUUCAUCCCCCCCCAACUUUUCCCGCGCGCGUGAAAAUCCAGCCGGCGACCCGGGAAGGUGCAGACCAACUAGGCAUGCGCCAGGUGAUGUCAAUCUGAAGAGACCAAGAUUUACCUGGUCGCACCUGUGGAACGCCCCCUGACACGCCCGUGCCCCGCCUAUUGCCCUCCCACUCCUAGAAAAGCCGCUCCGGAGGCACGCCACGCGCGGCCUUCCUCAGUCCUCCACUCCUGUCGGGAUGUCAGGACUGUGGGAACUCUGUCCGAGAGCUGUACGGGUGACUCUGGGGGCCCCUUUUGUCGGGGGGCCAACAGACCUCUCCCUACCCACCUUCUUCCCUUGAAGCUAGGUGACCAAAAUAAACUUGCAGUUUUGCUCCUACCCUUGCCUAGUCGCUGGUUCUUUUGUACCCGCUCUGG
rnacentral:lncRNA from 1 species